ensembl:lncRNA
CCCUUUUUGUUUCUAUUCUAUUAACACCAAUGAAAAAUCUCAAAAUUCAGCAUUACUGUAGAUGUACAUACAGCAAGAAAAUUAUUCCAUGCCUUGCGCAGGACCUUAUAAAGGGAAAUACUGUGUCUAUCAAGCUUAUCUGUUCAUCUGGAUUCCCAGGACCAAAAGACCAACAGCCUGCACAGAGACAUCCUGCUACAGAUCAGUGACUGUACUCUGCAGUCAGAAGAGCUGCUUCUGUUUCCAAACAAACAUUUCAAAACCGGUCGCAUCCUGAGGGAAGAUGCAGUUGUGGAUGUCUGGAACACCCCCGCUAUUUACAGAAAGGUGCUUCCUGUUAGCAUGGUGUCCUCCGCUCCCCAGCUUGGUCGUUUGUUUGGUGCAUGUGGCUAAUUUGCUCUAUAAACAGGAAGCACACUUGAAAAAUCAUCUAAAUAAACUCUGGUGUAUAUAAUUCCUUGUUAGGUUAAUGAAGAAUGAGCUGGCUGAAAGAUGAACAUGAUUAUGUGUAAGACAACAGAUCUUAUGGAAGCAGAAGACUGUAUGGGGGACCUACAUGGUGACCAACAGCAGACUAGCAGCAGAACACUGAACAAAAGGAAAACCAGACUUGUCUGUUACAUAUGUUUUCUCACAAGAAAGAGCACACACGGGGAUUCAGUCCCCAUGUGGCUUCAGGAGAAGGCAGAGGAGUUACAAAGAAGGGAUUAACUGGCAAUACAUUUGCAAUUAAGUGCUCUGCCAUCCUUGCUCUCUUUUCAGCAGCUUUACAUUUCCUUCUGUUGACGUUAUACCCCCAAGAUACCCAAAGCAGGUGGGGUGGUCGGGAACGAAGAGUCUCAUAAGCAAAUGCUAAAGAGCUCCUAAUUCAAGAUGGACACUAAAACUGCUGAAAAUUUUGUAACAAAUUGUCAACUUUUUGUCCCCCUUCCAAAAGCUCCCAGAGACUCUUGCUCUUGGUGUUGGGAUCUCCUUUCUAACACAGAUAUUGUUUAAAUAUUCAAUGUUAUUUUACUUUAGUUCUCAAAUGAGUCUUUAUUUCAUCCAGAUGUUACUGCUCAUAUCCCUGUCCUCGUUUAGAGCAACACUUUGUAGAAUACCUAAUCUUUAAGUCACUUUUACUUUAAUUCACCACUAUAUUUUUAAACGACUGUGUUUGACAUAAACCACUAGCUGGUUUCACAACUGCAGCGUCUCCACCUUUGGCAAACUCUUCACUUAUUUAUUCCCUCCUCUUUUAAUGGAGUUGCUGGAACCACUUAAAAUCCAUUAAUACACUACAAAUUUCAAGCACAAAUCAUAUUUGUGUGAACUAGUGCAGUUGGAAAUGCUGAAUAACUUCUACUUCAUACGAAAUCAAGUCCAUUGUAAAUGUGUAAUUGCGAUCCUCAAACAGCUUAAAGAUUUUCUGCAAAUACUGUGAGUUAAAUCUGUGUUUUGUAAUAUUUAUCCACUUUUAAAUUCUUUUUUUUUUUGUGUGUGUUUUACUUUCUAAUGCACUCUCUGGAUGUAGGCUUCUGUGUCUAGUUUGUUCUCGCUAGCUGUUAGUUAGAAAUCCACAUGUGUACCAUAUAUUAAGUGUUUGUAAUGCAUUUUGUGAUUAUACAUGCAUAUGUAUCAUUCUUAUCCAUGCAGUAAAACACAAUAUUGCCUGG